GACGAACGCUGGCGGCGUGCUUAACACAUGCAAGUCGAACGGAAAGGCCCUGCUUUUGUGGGGUGCUCGAGUGGCGAACGGGUGAGUAACACGUGAGUAACCUGCCCUGGACUUUGGGAUAACUUCAGGAAACUGGGGCUAAUACCGGAUAGGAGCGCCUGCUGCAUGGUGGGGGUUGGAAAGUUUCGGCGGUUGGGGAUGGACUCGCGGCUUAUCAGCUUGUUGGUGGGGUAGUGGCUUACCAAGGCUUUGACGGGUAGCCGGCCUGAGAGGGUGACCGGCGACAUUGGGACUGAGAUACGGACCAGACUCCUACGGGAGGCAGCAGUGGGGAAUAUUGCACAAUGGGCGGAAGCCUGAUGCAGCAACGCCGCGUGCGGGAUGACGGCCUUCGGGGUGUAAACCGCUUUCGCCUGUGACGAAGCGUGAGUGACGGUAAUGGGUAAAGAAGCACCGGCUAACUACGUG
rnacentral:rRNA from 1 species